GCAAAUGUAUUAGACUGUCUCAGCAUACAUAAUGCUGUUAGAGGAAAGGAUAUAUUACUGCCAAGUCAUGCUGAAGGAUUUCAUUCGCUAAUAUAAAUAUGGGUUAUAUAAGGUAAACAUUCAAAGCAAGUCUGAUACAAAAAUAAACAGAUCGAUUCUACAGACAGACAGACAGUUCGGCAAUGCAAUAAAUGCACCAUGUAUGUGGAUCCUGUAAGAUAUGUUUAAAAAGGCCUCCUUAACUCACACUCAAAAACAACAUCUACCCUUUUUUUUCCUGGAUGUAGGAGUCAUUUAGUGUAAACAUGUCAAACUCAAGUGAGCUUAAAAAUAACAA